GGACUACUAGGGUUUCUAAUCCUGUUUGCUCCCCUAGCUUUCGCAGAUCAGCGUCAGUGAUGGUCCAGUAGCCUGCUUUCGCCAUAGGUAUUCCUCCCGAUAUCUACGCAUUUCACCGCUACACCGGGAAUUCCAGCUACCUCUACCACACUCUAGCCCGGUAGUUUCCGUUGGCCUCUCCCAGUUGAGCCGGGAGCUUUCACAACAGACUUACCGAACCGCCUACCUGCGCUUUACGCCUAGUGAUUCCGAGUAACGCUUGCCACCUACGUAUUACCGCGGCUGCUGGCAC
rnacentral:rRNA from 1 species